CACGUAGUUAGCCGUGGCUUUCUGGUUAGGUACCGUCAAGACUUGUUCAGUUACUAACAAAUUUGUUCUUCCCUACCAACAGAGUUUUACGAUCCUAAGACCUUCAUCACUCACGCGGCGUUGCUCCGUCAGGCUUUCGCCCAUUGCGGAAGAUUCCCUACUGCUGCCUCCCGUAGGAGUCUGGACCGUGUCUCAGUUCCAGUGUGGCCGAUCACCCUCUCAGGUCGGCUACGUAUCGUUGCCUUGGUAAGCCGUUACCUUACCAACUAGCUAAUACGGCGCGGGUCCAUCUAUAAGUGACAGCCGAAACCGUCUUUCAACAUUGAACCAUGCGGUUCAAUAUAUUAUCCGGUAUUAGCCCCGGUUUCCCGGAGUUAUCCCAGUCUUAUAGGUAGUUACCCACGUGUUACUCACCCGUCCGCCGCUAACAUCAGAGAAGCAAGCUUCUCAUCUGUUCGCUCGACUUGCAUGUAUUAGGCACGCCGCCAGCGUUCAUCCUGAGCCAGGACUCAAACUC
rnacentral:rRNA from 1 species